GACGAACCGUGCGAACGCUAUUCGGAAUCACUGGGCUUAAAGGGCGCGUAGGCGGGCUCGCAGGUCAGGGGUGAAAGCCCACGGCUCAACCGUGGAAGUGCCUUUGAUACCGUGAGUCUCGAGGGAGGUAGGGGCGUGCGGAACUUCCGGUGGAGCGGUGAAAUGCGUAGAUAUCGGAAGGAACAUCGGUGGCGAAAGCGGCGCGCUGGACCUCUUCUGACGCUGAGGCGCGAAAGCCAGGGGAGCAAACGGG
rnacentral:rRNA from 1 species